GGCUCAAGGCCGUCAUCCAGCUCGAACCUGCAAAGAGGCAGCGGCCUCUGCCUGCUCUGAUAGGGAAGAGAAGGGUUCUAUCCCUGGAGCUGAUGGCAUGCCAUGGCAGUGC
rnacentral:ribozyme from 1 species